UUUAUCCUCCUUCCCGUCCUUUGUGUGUGUGCGCGCGCGCAUGUGCGUGUUCUGUAAUGGCAAUGAAUGACAACACAUUAAGAACUAAAGUGGUAAUGAAAAGCCUAUUAUCAGCAAUAUCCUCACGAUAUGAAGAAGUUGAAAAGCUGGUGAAAACAAAUAAAUAAUGAGGCAAUUCUGAACUACAUUACCAGAAAUUCGACAUGAUUCAGUGCAACCACAUUGAAAAGAAACAUUACUAUGGAAUUAGGCUAGCUAUGCAACCACAUUGAGAAAAAAAAAACUAUGCUUAUAAAAAACAGUUUCAUCCAUGAAGCAUGAAUGUGCUCUCUGCUUGCAGAAGUUCAUGGAGUAAAUAUAUAGAUAUAGAUAGAUCAGGCCAGAAAAGGUGAGGUACCCGGCUCUAUUCUUGUACAAUAUUUUUGGUGUUUUUGCUUGCUGUUUCUUUCCCAGACAACCAAGCUGACAUUCUAAUGGAUAUUUUUCCAUGUUCUUAAUGCAAAGACAGUAACAAAAAGAUUAAUUCCACAUGCACACGAAAGGUGCAUAUUUUACACCAUUAUUAGGAACAGGUACUAGGAGCACAACUAUUUUUAUUUCUUUAGCACUCUGAAAUCUGAACCAAAAUUCAGACUGCACAGAGCUAUGAUGAGAUUCAGAAAAGAUCUAUGUUAUGUUCUCUUGGUAAUCAUCAACUUACAACACUAGAUGGUCAUAACUUUGAACUCGGAAUCGAACUUCUAAUUUUGGCAAAUGCCAAGCAAACACAUCGGAGAAGUUCAACCAACUUUUUGGUUUGAACAAACAAAAUAUCAUGUACAGAUUUUGACCCAUGCAAACUAACAUGAGAGAAGCUGAACCAACUUUCCGGGCAGAACAAAAAAAUAUUUAAAAAAUAGGCUAGCUAUGUUCAUCACCUUCACUCUACUACAUGCUCUGAACUCUAAAGAAUUUUUUUUCCUGCUCAGUAGGAAAUAUCUUGCUACAAAUUUUGGCACAAACCUUUACUUAAGUGGCCUACUCUAUACGUUAGACAUGCUAGCAAUUAUGCCCCAUGAUCACAUCAAAUGCCAGCAACAAGUAACAAUGUUCAUCGGCCAAGCAAAAAACUAUACAUGAAUGCUUCACCGAGUAGUUGGGGAUUUGAGAGCUUACCCAUCGGGGAGAGGAACCAACUAACUUGAAGUCUUCUGGGCCGCCCCUGAUGCCAUGGUCGACGGCGUGCCUCCCUCCAUCUCGUGGGAGUGAUUCAUUCCACUGCGGGGGUGGCGACUGGAGCUGCUGACGGAGGAGGGGAGUCCGUAGGUGCAGACCGCAUCGGGGAGGGUAGACCGGCGAAGGACGCCACGGAGGGGAGGACGAAGAUGCGCGACGACUCGGCGAAGCCGGAUGAGG
rnacentral:lncRNA from 1 species